rnacentral:rRNA from 1 species
UUAAAUGAAUUUUGGCUUAUGUGGGAUAGCUUGGCACUUGGAGUCGAAGAAGGGCGUAGUAACUAACGAUAUGCUUUGGGGAGCAAGAAACAAGCAUUGAUCCAAAGAUUCCCGAAUAGGGCAACCUAUUAACUUAACUCUUACUGAAUUUUUAAGUAUUUUGUGGGUAACUCAGUGAACUGAAACAUCUUAUUAGCUGAAGGAAAAGAAAGCAAUUGCGAUUUUCUUAUUAGCGGCGAGCUAACUGAAAAUAGCCUAAACCUUUUAGGUGUAGUGGGGGUAAUUUUUACUAAUUAAACUACUUUUGAAAUUAUUGAUUGUAAUACUAAAGAGGGUUGAAAGUCCCGUAAAAAGUCAUAAUAAUUAGUUUUUUAUUUCCCGAGUAGCAUAGAGCACGUGGAAUUCUGUGUGAAUCAGCGAGGACCAUCUCGUAAGGCUAAAUACUCCCAAGUGACCGAUAGUGAAAUAGUACCGUGAGGGAAGUGCUGAAAAGAACCCUGAGAAGGGAGUGAAAUAGAUCAUGAAAGCAUAAGCUUACAAGCAGUAGGAGAUCCUUUUAAGGUUUGACUGUGUGCCUGUUGAAGAAUGUGCCGGCGACUUAUAGAUUGUGGCUUGGUUAAGGUUUUUGUGCCGGAGCCAUAGUGAAGACGAGUUUGAAUAAAGCGUUUUGUCACUGUUUAUAGACCCGAACCCGGGUGAUCUAAUCAUGACCAGGAUGAAGCUUGGGUAACACUAAGUGGAAGACCGAACCCACCAAUGUUGAAAAAUUGGGGGAUGAGUUGUGAUUAGCGGAGAAAUUCCAAUCGAACUCGGAGCUAGCUGGAUCUCUUCGAAAUGCGUUGAGGCGCAGCAAUUAGUUAUGGUUUGACCAGGGGUAAAGCACUGUUUCGACAAGGGCUAUGAAAGUAGUACCAAGUUGUAGCAAACUCUGAAUACUGGUUUUUAUUUCAACUGAUUAGUGAGACUGUGGGGGAUAAGCUUCAUAGUCAAGAGGGAAACAGCCCAGAUCACCGUUUAAGGCCCCUAAAUAAUUACUAAGUGACAAAGGAGGUAAUCGUACAUAGACAACCAGGAGGUUUGCCUAGAAGCAGCCACCCUUUAAAAAUUGCGUAAUAGCUUACUGGUCAAGUGCUUUUGCGCCGAAAAUGAAUGGGACUAAGUAAUUUGCCGAAAAUGUGAGAUAAUAUCGGUAGAAGAGCGUUCUGUUUUAGUUUGAAGCAAUAGUGUAAACAGUUGUGGACUAUUCAGAAGUGAGAAUGUCGGCUUAAGUAACGAAAACAUUGGUGGAAAUCCAAUGCCCCGAAAACCUAAGGAUUCCUUCGCAAGGUUCGUCCACGAAGGGUUAGUCAGGGCCUAAAAUGAGGUUUAACAACGUAAUUGAUGGAUAACGGGUUAAUAUUCCCGUACUGCAAUUUAUAUGAUUAAGAGUGACGAAGAAGGCUAUAUCAUCCAAGUUUUGGUUUUUGGUUUAAUCUUUCAAGAUUUUGAGAAAUGCUAAAAAAAGUAUUUUGAGUUGAGAAGAGAAUACGAGAUAUACUACGGUAUUGAAAGUGAUAAAUGCCAUGCUUCCUAGAAAAACUUUUUUAACUUCUGUAGAUUGUACCUGUACCUUAAACUGACACAGGUAGGUUGGUAGAGAAUACCAAGGGGCGCGAGAUAACUCUUUCUAAGGAACUCGGCAAAAUGACUCUGUAACUUCGGGAGAAAGAGUGCCACAUUUAUGUGGUCGCAGUUAACAGACCCAAGCGACUGUUUACCAAAAACACAGGUCUCCGCUAAGUUGUAAAACUAUGUAUGGGGGCUGACGCCUGCCCAGUGCCGGAAGGUUAAAGAAAUUGGUUAGCUCACGCGAAGCUGGUGACUGAAGCCCUGGUGAACGGCGGCCGUAACUAUAACGGUCCUAAGGUAGCGAAAUUCCUUGUCGGGUAAGUUCCGACCCGCACGAAAGGCGUAACGAUUUGGGUACUGUCUCAGAAAGAGACUCGGUGAAAUAGAAUUGACUGUGAAGAUGCGGUCUACUUGCACUUGGACAGAAAGACCCUAUGAAGCUUUACUGUAACUUGAAAUUGGUUUCGGGCUUUUCUUGCGCAGAAUAGGUGGGAGGCUAUGAUCCUCUUUUUCGGAAGUUGGUGAGCCGCAAUGUGAGAUACCACUCUAGAAAAGUUAGAAAUCUAAUGACAUUUUUUAAUCAAGAUGUUUGACACUUUCAGGCGGGCAGUUUUACUGGGGCGGUAGCCUCCUAAAAAGUAACGGAGGCGUACAAAGGUUUUCUCAGGCUGGACGGAAAUUAGUUGUAGAGUGUAAAGAUAUAAGAAAGCUUGACUGUGAGACCUACAAGUCAAACAGAGACUAAAGUCGGUCUUAGUGAUCCGACGGUGCUGUAUGGAAAGGCCGUCGCUCAACGGAUAAAAGUUACUCUAGGGAUAACAGGCUGAUCUCCCCCAAGAGUUCACAUCGACGGGGAGGUUUGGCACCUCGAUGUCGGCUCAUCGCAACCUGGGGCGGAAGUACGUUCCAAGGGUUGGGCUGUUCGCCCAUUAAAGCGGUACGUGAGCUGGGUUCAGAACGUCGAGAGACAGUUCGGUCCAUAUCCGGUGUGAGUGUUAGAGUAUUGAAAGGAGCUUUCCUUAGUACGAGAGGACCGGGAAGGACGCACCACUGAUGUACCAGUUUUUGUACCAACAGAAUACGCUGGGUAGUCACGUGUGGAGUGGAUAACUGCUGAAAGCAUAUAAGUAGGAAGCCCACCUUAAAAUGAGUACUCUUUUAUUAAGAUCACGACAAGAUUAGUCGUUAUAUAGGUGUUAAGUGUAAGUUCGGUAACGAUUUUAGCUGAGACAUACUAAUAGAUCGAAAGUUUUAUCCUA